CACACAGCAGGCAUGUAUAGUCAUUAGUAACUCGGUAGUGCCUCCUGCGUGGCAUAUUUCUCAUAUUCAGCCUGUUAGCCAAGAGAAGCCAGGCGAAAACCUUUCCAUUUCAUAUUGCACUUAGCUUUCCAAAUCCAGUUAAACGCAGCAUCAAUCGACAUCUCUCUGAAGCAAAAUGAAUAGUACCUAUUUGUGAGAAUGCUGGUGGAAUCCCCACUUCUCAUAUGAGGACUGUAGAAGGAGCAAUGCAUGAAAAAAAAGGAAGUCAAAGUUAGCAGAUAGAAACAAAAUAUGAGGAAUGCAUCUAUCAUGCCUCAUGCAUGUAACUUCUCAUAGUAAACGAAACACUGGCAAGCAAACUUCAUUCAGCAUAGCAAGGGGAGACCAGGCAAACAGAAAAACAGAAAUACGGCAAUGACUACUAAUGCAUCAAGCUGUGAAUUCCAGACCUUUCUUUCAACAGGAAUAUCCACGUCAUCGACCAAAAAGAGGGCACAAACGAUGAGCUAUAUUUAGGAAUGAAGCAAAUCACAUUAGAAAAGAAACCCUUCCGAGUUCAUUGCUCUUGCGCACACACAAAUGAAAUGGAAAACUGUUGUUCUUAUGCCCAUGAUCAAGCCUCUCGCACAUAAAAGCUACAAUGAGACCUAAAGGGAGGGAAGCUGGAGGAGGAGAAAGGAGAGAGAUGACCUGUGUCGCGAGGCUCCUAUAGUGCAAACGGUCGUCGUGGCACGCUAUGGGCAGUGCUCAGAGUACUCUCAACUCCAGAGAGAAUUGCCCAGAGUGAUCCAAA
rnacentral:lncRNA from 1 species